UACGGGGGGGGCAAGCGUUGUUCGGAAUUACUGGGCGUAAAGGGCUCGUAGGCGGCCGCUUAAGUCAGACGUGAAAUCCCCUCGGCUCAACCGGGGGCACUGCGUCUGAGACUGAAUGGCUUGAAUCCGGGAGGAGGGAUGCGGAAUUCCAGGUGUAGCGGUGAAUGCGUAGAUAUCGAUAGGAACUCCGGUGGCGAAGGCGGCAUACUGGUCCACUUCUGACGCUGAGGCGCGAAAGCCAGGGGAGCAAACGGGG
rnacentral:rRNA from 1 species